ensembl:lncRNA
GUCAAUUUACUCAUAUGGUUACAUUGGCUUUUUGCUAUGGUUUUGUUGCUUGAAAAUGUAUACAUUAUAGUUCUCAAUGGCAAGAGUUUAACAAUUUAUGCAUUUUUUUUCAUUUUGCAACUUCUGUAUUUCCGGGUGGAUGUACUUUCUGAAGAUAUGGCAAACAGUGCUGGAAGAUCUGACGAUCUUAAGAUGUUCAAAAAAAAGGCACACCAUUUUAGGGCUGUAUCCACUGAGCAGAUGUCGUCAGCUGAUCAGAGGCGAGAAUACAACCGGAUCUGGGCAAGGGUGUCAAGAGCCCAGAAAAAGAAUACACGUGAUGGAGAACCAAAUGAGCUGCAGAAUCACAAUGAUCAGGAGAUGUACAGUGAUGAUAGCCCUGGGAGUGGAGGUGGAUGUACCAUCGAAGAGCAGCUGCAUGACG